GACGAACGCUGGCGGCGUGCUUAACACAUGCAAGUCGAGCGGUAAGGCCCUUUCGGGGGUACACGAGCGGCGAACGGGUGAGUAACACGUGGGUGACCUGCCUCUAGCUCUGGGAUAAGCCUGGGAAGCUGGGUCUAAUACCGGAUAUGACCUCGCGGUGCAUGUUGCGGGGUGGAAAGCCUUGUGCGGCUAGGGAUGGGCCCGCGGCCUAUCAGCUUGUUGGUGGGGUGAUGGCCUACCAAGGCGACGACGGGUAGCCGGCCUGAGAGGGCGACCGGCCACACUGGGACUGAGACACGGCCCAGACUCCUACGGGAGGCAGCAGUGGGGAAUCUUGCGCAAUGGGCGAAAGCCUGACGCAGCGACGCCGCGUGAGGGAUGACGGCCUGG
rnacentral:rRNA from 1 species